AGACCAUGUUGUGGACAUCGCCUCAAAAGGUCUUUGUAUCUUUCCCAAGCUUCAUAUAAUGUCUCCACAUCUUGUUGACUGAAAGAAGCUAUAUCAUGUCGAAGUUU